rnacentral:rRNA from 1 species
AUUGAACGCUGGCGGCAUGCUUUACACAUGCAAGUCGAACGGCAGCGCGGGCUUCGGCCUGGCGGCGAGUGGCGAACGGGUGAGUAAUACAUCGGAACGUGCCCAGUAGUGGGGGAUAGCUCGGCGAAAGCCGGAUUAAUACCGCAUACGACCUGAGGGUGAAAGCGGGGGAUCUUCGGACCUCGCGCUAUUGGAGCGGCCGAUGGCAGAUUAGCUAGUUGGUGGGGUAAAGGCCUACCAAGGCGACGAACUGUAGCUGGUCUGAGAGGACGACCAGCCACACUGGGACUGAGACACGGCCCAGACUCCUACGGGAGGCAGCAGUGGGGAAUUUUGGACAAUGGGCGAAAGCCUGAUCCAGCAAUGCCGCGUGUGUGAUGAAGGCCUUCGGGUUGUAAAGCACUUUUGGCGGGAACGAAAAGGACUGUGCCAAUACCACGGUUCGAUGACGGUACCCGCAGAAUAAGCACCGGCUAACUACGUG